ensembl:miRNA
UCUUAAACAAUUGGGUCUGAACAAGAGCGUAUCAAGCGUUUGGCGGUGUCUGGCGUAGAGCAGGAGGGCAGUGGAGGGCGGCUGUUUUACUCCUGGCCCCGACUGAGAAGAGGCUUUGUGAGUUACGUGGUUUUGCCCAAAAU